rnacentral:rRNA from 1 species
GCGCAACCCCCGCCGUUAGUUGCCAGCGGUUCGGCCGGGCACUCUAACGGGACUGCCCGCGAAAGCGGGAGGAAGGAGGGGACGACGUCUGGUCAGCAUGGCCUUACGGCCUGGGCGACACACGUGCUACAAUGCCCACUACAAAGCGAUGCCACCCGGCAACGGGGAGCUAAUCGCAAAAAGGUGGGCCCAGUUCGGAUUGGGGUCUGCAACCCGACCCCAUGAAGCCGGAAUCGCUAGUAAUCGCGGAUCAGCCAUGCCGCGGUGAAUACGUUCCCGGGCCUU